UAGGAAGAAGUUGAGAAAAUUACACAACCAUAUUUAGAUGCUCUUGGUGAAGACUAUUCUGUUUGUUGCCAAGGAACUGCUUUUUUUCCUUUGCAAAGCUGCAUGAACCAUUCCUGUAGUUCUAAUGCCAAAGCCUUCAAGAGAGACGAGGAUAGGGAUGGCCAAGCAACCAUAAUCGCAGUAAGGCCGAUUCGAAAAGGAAAAGAG